rnacentral:lncRNA from 1 species
AAAAGCAUUAAUGAACAAUCAUCUUUGGUUUUCUUUUUUUUUUAAUUGUUUUUAAUUUACUUAAAUAAUCAAUUUCCCUAUGUCUGUUUCGUGGUCUCAUUUGGGUGACCGUCUUUCCAGAUCUUCCUCUCUCCCCAUCUCCUGACUAAAAUGUUUAUUUUAAGGAGAAAGAUGUUGGUGUGGCAUAGUAAAGUUUCCCAAUUAGAAAAAAAAUUAAAAAUUGAAAGAAAGUUUUUGGAAGCAAUCCUUAAACAUAGCAAUAUCUUAACAAAAUAAUAAUAAUAAUAAAAGUGAGUGAUACAGGCUGCCUUCCCAAUCAGGUAAAUGAAAACUUACCAAGUCACAGACUUGGGUGCAGUGCCCAUAACCAGCCUCUUCUGAAUUGACCUGUGCAGACCCAGGACAUCAGAAUUAGAAUAUGGUGUUCAGACUUAGGACCUCUAUAUGGCUGGAAAUAGUAAACAAAUUGUGCGGAUCAGGUCUGCACGGACCACUGGGGGCUGCUGCACUCAAGAGACCAGUCCCAGGAUUGCCUCUUGCAAAUCCAUGUGAUAUUUGGCCUCUCUACCUAUCCCCCCCCCCCCAAAAAAAAGGAAAACAGAAAAGGGGAGCCCAAACCACAGGCCAAAACAAUCUGCAGAAAUGAAGAGAGGAUCUGCGGCAGCCAAGGGGGCUGCCAGCAGUUGGUAGAGACAGUGCUUCCUACUGGCAGUCAAAUCAAACGUAGUAACAACUCAAAGGCUCCCUGCUGCUCGCUGACAGCAUGGCUUCACACACUGGGGCAAACAACCACUUAAACACUGAUUGCAGGGAAUUGCCCUUUCCGCCAGCACCUCCCACCUUGGGAAGAAUGAGCAAAGAAGAGAGUCAUUUCUAGGGGCACACCAAGAAGCUGGCUGCCCAGUCCACCUCAGAUGGUCAAUGCUCUGUCCUGGGCUCACCAGGGAAAUGGCCUUAGGAAGGUUGCGAAUUAAGGCUGAAUGUGAUGUCUACAGCUGCACUGUGAUGAGACAAGUGUUUCUGAUGGUUCUUUGUUAACACACACACACACACACACACACACACACACACAGGGUCUUAAUGUCUCAGUGUUAACUGUGUACAUGUGCUUUUAUGACAGCCCUUGCCCUCAGGGUCUACUUGGAGGCACUAUGAGUAUGGUGUUAGUGGACUCCAAUGCAUUUUUUUUUAAAAAGAUCUAUCUAUCUAUCUAUCUAUCUAUCUAUCUAUCUAAUCUAUCUAUCUAUUUAAUAUAUAUGAGUACACUGUUGUCUUCAGACACACCAGAAUUGGCCAUUGGGUCCCAUUACAGAUGACUGUGAGCCACCAUGUGGUUGCUGGGAAUUGAACUCAGGACCUGCGGAAGAGCAGCCAGUGCUCUUAACCACUGAGCCAUCUCUCCAGCACCCCCAAUGCAUUUUUUUUUCUCUUGAAGAACUACAAGAAAUCUAGGGAAGCAUACAGGUGACACUUGUCACUGUACAAGUGAGGAAACAGUGUCCACAUGGUAGGUACCGUGGCAAUGGGUAACAAAGUCAAGUGCUCAGCUAGACCCACUCUCUCCUACUGAGUCCAAUACUGACAUGCCCGGGGCUCUAAACAGGCCCAGAGAAUUCUGCUAAAGACAGUUCUU